ensembl:lncRNA
CCCUGCCUCCUUGUCUCCAGCAGUCCCAGAGCCCGGCCCGAGUAUUGCAAAAGCCUGUUAUCUAACUGCAGGCCGGGGCAACCGGCCCUUUUCUCCCUCUAGAAUGUAUUCCCGGCCCCAUUCUCCAGAAAAGCGAUUCCCAUCUGCUUCCCCCUUUAAAAACAACCAAUAAUUCCCCCAGUUACAUGUAAAACGCUAAUUUGCAUGUUUUUAAAGCUCGGAGUUCUAGAUCCUCUCUUUCUCUCUCCCCUUCCCCUCAUUGAGGGCCGCCCAUAAAGUGAUGCAAAGCGUUCCCGUAAAGGUCACGAUGUGAAAGGAAACGGAGAUCUUCCCUCCCAGAAUCCUCUAGGAAAACAAAGGUAAAAAGUCUCUCCGGGGUUCGGAGACAACCUCCCGGGGGGAUCCAGGAUCCGUCUGCCUCCGCUUCGCUGCCUCGGCGGGGCUCUCACCCUCACCAUUCCUGCCUCUCACAGCCCCUGACGCCACUUCUGUUCCCCCGGCCCGGGCUGUAACAGGCGGAGAGCUGGCAGGUGACGGCGCCCCGCCCCACGCAGGAUUCGAACUCGAGUCUUUCCAGGCCCUGGGGGAGCGGGAGGGGCGCCGGCUGCGAGUCUGUGGCAGGCGUCCGGGCCCUUACGCUCCCUGUAUUUACAAAUGGGGCAGCUGAGGCUAAAGGGGCUUCCACUCCACGCCCUACGCACCUGCCCAGCCGUCUCCUCACUGCCCCCUGUCGGCCGCCAGGUGCUUCGGGCAGGCCCGCUCUUCCCGCCCCCGCCGCUCGCUCUCCCUUCUUUCAUUGGUCGCUUCGGCGACUGAUCGAUCGUUGAGUCAGCCAUUCGCUUGGCGGCGUUCCAGGAUCUCUCCGCCCCCACGGUGGCAUCGCCCCCGCCCCCUCCUCUCCCGGGAGCCCGGCGCCGCGCUGAUGUCACCGCGGGCGGGAUGACGUCACGGCGCAUUGACGUCGCCCGGCGGCUGGCGGAGGAGCCGGGUCCGGGCGCUGCCUGAGACCGAGCUCGGGUCUCGGGGUCGCUCGCGCCGGAGGCAGAAGCCGCGUCCCGUCCGCUCGCCGGCCCGGCCCGAGCGUCCGCCGGCCCUCCGGGACGCGGCCGGCGCCAGCCCGAUGAGAUAUUUUAGCCCAAUGCUGCGGCCCGUGAAGAUAUGGAAAAAUGGGAGACUUGAAGAGGUGAUGCAAUUAACUAAGUUGGGGGAAUGCAAUCUGGAAUUAAGAUCUAAAGACAAAAUGAUUUCCAAAGGAGAAAGCGUGACCCAUUCUGAAAAUUAAGGAAUGGCUCUAUCCUUGGUUAUCAUUACUACCGCUGCCACACCCACCACCCUCAUCACCAUCAACAGCCAGUUCGUUUGAGAGGCAACUGUACUUUGAUCCUUUUGAUAAGCAGACAAGGUAAAUAAUUUUUGCCAGGAUCUGCUCUACUUUCAGAGGAACCAAUCUGAGGCUGAUAGACAGUGUGUUACCACAAUCUAGAUGGAUGUUUCCAUGUGUAAGAGUUGAGAUUUGAACUUUAAAUUUCCCAUUCACUUAUUUUCCCUAGGGAUGGAAGGUGUUAGAGUAGCUAUUCCCAUAUGACUUUCUUGCCCCCAGGUCGAGUAAUACUGAGCCAUCACUUCUAGUGAUUCUAUUUUAUUAUUAAAAAAAAAUUCUUGAAGAUUUCAUGUUACUUGAGUGUGUUCCUUAGUUUGGAAAACUUCACUUGUUUGUCAUUAGGCUUUAUAAAUGAUGUAUAAUCGAAUAAUAAUAAUUGCUGCCUUGAUGGUAGAAUUUCCUUGAGAGAAAAUAGCAGCUUUUUAAUUCUUGGUUUUCUACUUGAUUUGAAGAAUGACAGUUAACCAAAAAUUCCUAGCAUUUUAAUACUUCAUAUCUGUGCUAUUAGACAAGGUAGAAUUAUGACAAGGAAUUAGACUUCAUUUCAGGUCCUCUAGUGAAAUCUGCGCCCCCCCAACUUUAUCAGUUUUCC